rnacentral:rRNA from 1 species
CCCUUAGAUGUUCUGGGCCGCACGCGCGCUACACUGACACGUUCAUCAAGUCUAUAACCUUGACCGAGAGGUCUGGGUAAUCUUUUAAAAACGUGUCGUGCUGGGGAUAGAUUAUUGCAAUUAUUAAUCUUCAACGAGGAAUUCCUAGUAAACGCAAGUCAUCAACUUGCAUUGAUUACGUCCCUGCCCUUUGUACACACCGCCCGUCGCUACUACUGAUUGGGUGUUCAAGUGAGAUGCUUAGACCCUUGUUGCAUGGUUCAUUAUUGUGCUCCGAAAGGAAAAAGUUUCAAGCUUGAGUGUCUAGAGGAAGUAAAAGUCGUAACA